GCUGGCGGCGUGCUUAACACAUGCAAGUCGAACGAGGUCCAACCGGUGGCAACACCGGAGACGACCUAGUGGCGAACGGGUGAGUAACACGUGAGGAACCUGCCCCGAAGUCCGGGAUAACCCCCCGAAAGGGGAGCUAAUACCGGAUGUUCCCCACCAGAUCGCAUGUUCAGGUGAGGAAAGAAUUUCGCUUCGGGAGGGCCUCGCGGCCUAUCAGCUUGUUGGUGAGGUAACGGCUCACCAAGGCAACGACGGGUAGCUGGUCUGAGAGGACGAUCAGCCACACUGGGACUGAGACACGGCCCAGACUCCUACGGGAGGCAGCAGUGGGGAAUCUUGCGCAAUGGGCGAAAGCCUGACGCAGCAACGCCGCGUGCGGGAUGACGGCCUUCGGGUUGUAAACCGCUUUCAGUGGGGACGAAAUCAGACGGUACCCACAGAAGAAGCCCCGGCCAACUACGUGCCAGCAGCCGCGGUAACACGUAGGGGGCGAGCGUUGUCCGGAAUCAUUGGGCGUAAAGAGCUCGUAGGCGGCUCGGUAAGUCGGGUGUGAAACCCCCAGGCUCAACCUGGGGACGCCACCCGAUACUGCCGUGGCUAGAGUCCAGUAGGGGAGUGUGGAAUUCCCGGUGUAGCGGUGAAAUGCGCAGAUAUCGGGAGGAACACCAGCGGCGAAGGCGGCACUCUGGGCUGGAACUGACGCUGAGGAGCGAAAGCGUGGGUAGCAAACAGGAUUAGAUACCCUGGUAGUCCACGCCGUAAACGUUGGGCACUAGGUGUGGGGACCCUCCAACGGUUUCCGUGCCGUAGCUAACGCAUUAAGUGCCCCGCCUGGGGAGUACGGCCGCAAGGCUAAAACUCAAAGGAAUUGACCG
rnacentral:rRNA from 1 species